AAGGAGCAUUCAAAAGCAGCAAUGCUACCUGAUACACUCUUCCUAAAUUAAUCCCUAGUAUUUUCCUGCUUGUAGUUCUGGAGCAUGAUCUACAGGUCUCAAAAUUACUGGACAUAUAA